AUUGAACGCUGGCGGCAUGCCUUACACAUGCAAGUCGAACGGUAACAGGUUAAGCUGACGAGUGGCGAACGGGUGAGUAAUGUAUCGGAACGUGCCCAGUCGUGGGGGAUAACUGCUCGAAAGAGCAGCUAAUACCGCAUACGACCUGAGGGUGAAAGCGGGGGAACGCAAGACGUCGCGCGAUUGGAGCGGCCGAUAUCAGAUUAGGUAGUUGGUGAGGUAAAGGCUCACCAAGCCGACGAUCUGUAGCUGGUCUGUGAGGACGACCAGCCACACUGGGGCUGAGACGCGGCCCAGACUCCUGCGGGAGGCAGCAGUGGGGAAUUUUGGACAGUGGGCGCAAGCCUGAUCCAGCCAUGCCGCGUGCGAGAAGAAGGCCUUCGGGUUGUAAACCGCUUUUGUCAGGGAAGAAAAGGUUCUGGCUAAUACCUGGGGCUCGUGACGGUACCUGAAGAAUAAGCACCGGCUAACUACGUG
rnacentral:rRNA from 1 species